rnacentral:rRNA from 1 species
UACGUAGGGUGCGAGCGUUGUCCGGAAUUAUUGGGCGUAAAGAGCUCGUAGGCGGCUUGUCGCGUCGACUGUGAAAUCCCGCGGCUCAACUGCGGGUCUGCAGUCGAUACGGGCAGGCUAGAGUUCGGUAGGGGAGACUGGAAUUCCUGGUGUAGCGGUGAAAUGCGCAGAGAUCGGGAGGAACACCAGAGGCGAAGGCGGCGACCUGGACAAGUACUGACACUCAACUACGAAAGCGUGGGGAGCAAACAGG